rnacentral:rRNA from 2 species
AAAAGGAACUAACAAGGAUUCCCUCAGUAGCGGCGAGCGAAGCGGGAAGAGCCCGGUUUGAAAAUCUCUUCGGAGAAUUGUAUUCGAGUGUCCUUGGGUGGUCAGUGCGAGAAAGUCGCUUGGAAUGGCGCGCCAUGGAGGGUGAGAGCCCCGUCCAUCUCGCACAGGAUCCAUCCGCACGAGGUCACUUCAGCCGAGUCGGGUAGCUUGGGAAUGCUGCUCUAAUUGGUGGUAAAUCUCAUCAAAGGCUAAAUAUCGGUGGGAGACCGAUAGCGAACAAGUACCGUGAGGGAAAGAUGGAAAGGACUUUGAAAAGAGAGUGAAAAGCACUUGAAACCGUCACGGGGGAAGCGGAUUGCGUGAGUGGUGGUGCGGCAAGUUCAGCGCAAAUUUAUUUUUGCGUGUAUUCUGGCCGUACCUUGUUGCUGUGGCUGGCUGGCGCGUGAAAGGGAAACUGACGCGCUCGGCUGGUGAGGGCUCCCCUCCCUGUAGGGUUUUAGAGGACAGCAGCGAAAUGACGCAAUACGACCCGUCGUCUUGAAACACGGACCAAGGAGUCUAGCACGGCUGCGAGUCGAAGGGUGUAAAACCCAAGGGCGCAGUGAAAGCGAAGUAAUAAGCAAAUUGGGGAGGCGUCGCGUUUUUAACAAAAUGUCCUACCUUGAGCACUUGUGCUGGGACCCGAAAGAUGGUGAACUAUGCCGGAGUAGGGCAAAGCCAGAGGAAACUCUGGUGGAGGCUCGUAGCGAUGCUGACGUGCAAAUCGCUCGUCGAACUUGGGUAUAGGGGCGAAAGACUAAUCGAACCAUCUAGUAGCUGGUUCCCUCCGAAGUUUCUCUCAGGAUAGCGGGCCGACACCGAUGUUGUUUUGUGCGGUAAAGCGAAUGAUUAGUGCAGUUGGGGGACCAAGUCCUUCGGGCGAUUCUCAAACUUUAAAUGCGCAAGGGAGUGGCUGCUUAAGCAAAACUUUUUUCUUUCUAGAAAGAAAUGAGCCUACUCUUUGAAAAACGUCGGCCCUGUGGGCCACUUUUGGUAAGCAGAACUGGCGAUAAGGGAUGAACCUUAAGCGCGGUUAAGGCGCCGCAUUGCCCGCUUAUAGACCCCACAAAAGGUGUUGAUUCAUUUAGACAGCAGGACGGUGGCCAUGGAAGUCGGAAUCCGCUAAGGAGUGUGUAACAACUCACCUGCCGAAUGAAUUAGCCCUGAAAAUGGAUGGCGCUGAAGCGGGCAGCCGACACCGCGCCGUUCCGGCGAGACGUGUGCCGGGAUGAGUAGGAGGGCGUGGCGGUCAGUGAAGCAGGCGAGGGUGCAGACCCCGCUGAAACGGCCGCUAGUGCAGAUCUUGGUGGUAGUAGCAAAUAUUCAAGCGAGAUCCUUGAAGGGCGAAGCGGGGAAGGGUUCCACGCCAACAUUGAUUGGGCGUGGGUGAGUCGUUCCUAAGCCGAGUGGCAAUUGCUAAGUAGCGGCGAAAGGGAAGCGGGUUAAAAUUCCCGCACACGGAUAUGGAGGCGGCGACGCAAGCAGAGGCGAAUACGCUGGCGAGGGCGCCGGGCAGAGUUGUCUUUUCUGUUUGACCGGCAUCGAGCUGUGUGGAAUCCGCUUAUCGGGAGAAACACGCUCGGGUAGGGGCAGAGCGUCAGGUCUUUUCUGGCGUCCGGCUCGCCCUCGACGGCCCCUGAAAAUUCGUCCGCGAUUUCUUUUCUUCCUCCCCCAAAAAGGGUGGAAAGAGCAAAUUUCAUGCUGUGACGUACCGAUAACCGCAUCAGGUCCCCAAGGUGAACAGCCUCUGCUCAAUAUGAACAAUGCAGGUAAGGGAAGUCGGCAAAAUAGACCCGUAACUUUGGGAAAAGGGUUGGCUCUAGUGGAGCGGGGGUUUUCAAAGGGGGCUCACCUGUGCUCGUCGAGGGGCGGACAUGGCUAGCUUCCGCUGGACGUGACUGCUCCGCGCCUUGCGCGGGGGACGCUACUCGCCCUCAGCAUGCUCCAGACUAGAACUGCAACGGGCAAGGGGAAUCCGACUGUUUAAUUAAAACAAAGCAUUGCGAAGGCCGUGGCCGGUGAUGACGCAAUGUGAUUUCUGCUCAGUGCUCUGAAUGUCAAAGUGAAGAGAUUCAAUCAAGCGCGGGUAAACAGCGGGAGUAACUAUGACUCUCUUAAGGUAGCCAAAUGCCUCGUCAUCUAAUUAGUGACGCGCAUGAAUGGAUUAACGAGAUUCCUACUGUCCCUAUCUGCUUCUAGCGAAACCACAGCCGAGGGAACGGGCUCGGCGAAAUCGGCGGGGAAAGAAGACCCUGUUGAGCUUGACUCUAUUCUAAUUUUGUGAAGCAAGUUAGGAGGUGUAGCAUAGGUGGGAGCUUCGGCGUCCGUGAAAUACCACUACUCUUAAUCUUGCUUUACUUAGGGCGUGAGGCUGUGCGGCCGCAAGGCUUGCUUUUUGCACCAAGCGCGCUUUGUUUUGCAUCGCGCGUGAACAGCGCGCCCAACACAUUUAGGAGGGGAGUUUGGCUGGGGCGGCACAUCUUCUACAAGACAACGAAGGUGUCCAAAGAUAAGCUCAGUGAGAACAGAAAUCUCACGUAGCGCAAAAGGGUAAAAGCUUGUUUGAUUUUGAUUUUCAGUGUGAGUUGAAAACGCGAAAGCGUGGCCUAUCGAUCCUUUCACGAUUCGAGAUUUGAAGCGAGAGGUGUCAGAAAAGUUACCACAGGGAUAACUGGCUUGUGGCGGCCAAGCGUUCAUAGCGACGUCGCUUUUUGAUCCU